CAUCACCUUGCUGCUUUUCUGGGCUUUGUUCCUGCCUGGUGCUGGAGAGUUGAGGUGCAACGAGAUCUCAGUCUGCAUCCUGGCUCCAAGCAGCUGAAAAGAACUGAGAAAAGACCUCUGUCUUGUGCAUGCUGUCAACCUCUGGUGCUGCUGUCUGUGUACAUGCCUCACUGCCCCAGGAGUCUGCUGUUGUCACUGCGUUGUGGAAUACUGAUCUUGUGUUUGUUGCCAUGUGCUCAGGAAGACCUGUGGGAUGGACCCCAGGCUGUACCAUGGUUGCUGGCUGCUGGCCUGAGCAGCAGUCUGCCUCUUUGUACUCCUGCCUCUGUCUGCGUCUUCUUCCCAUCAAUUGCUGUGCUUGCUGGUAGCCUGUAAGGUAUCUGAGGAAAGGGCUGUUUCUUUGCCUUCCUGUACCUUGCACUGCAGAUCUCUAAUCACUGAGUGUGGCUCCCAGACAUUGCAAGGCUGCGAGAGCUGACAAGAUAAGAAUGGAUUUUAAAUGUUUUCCUAAAGCCACUUGUAUCAGUAAUGGCAAAUAAAAACUGCUUCUCUGUGA